rnacentral:rRNA from 1 species
CGCGUAGUUAGCCGGGGCUUCUUAGUCAGGUACCGUCAUUAUCUUCCCUGCUGAUAGAGCUUUACAUACCGAAAUACUUCUUCACUCACGCGGCGUCGCUGCAUCAGGGUUUCCCCCAUUGUGCAAUAUUCCCCACUGCUGCCUCCCGUAGGAGUCUGGGCCGUGUCUCAGUCCCAAUGUGGCCGUUCACUCUCUCAAGCCGGCUACUGAUCGUCGCCUUGGUAGGCCGUUACCCCACCAACAAGCUAAUCAGACGCGGGUCCAUCUCACAGCGAUAAAUCUUUGAAAGGAUCGUCAUGCGGCAAUCCCUUGUUAUGCGGUAUUAGCAGCCGUUUCCGGCUGUUGUCCCCCUCUGUGAGGCAGGUUACCCACGCGUUACUCACCCGUCCGCCACUCAGUCCAUCCAUCUUCCCUCCGAAAAGUUCCCGUGGUAGCGCUUCGUUCGACUUGCAUGUGUUAAGCACGCCGCCAGCGUUCAUCCCUGACGUCCCAGGACUACGAAACCUUCC